CAUGCAUGGGCCGACAAGUGGACUGUAAAUCCACCUCCCUCAAUGGUGUAGAUAUUAAUUAAUAUCGUUACUGAAAACCCGUCCGGUCUUAUUCUCCCCUUCCCUUCUGCCCUCUCACAAAGUCCUCCGCAUGAACGUAUGAGUGUGGAUGAAUACAGUUUUUGCCCUCUUUUGUAAAAGUCGGGUUAUAAUAAUAAUAUAUUAAAAUUAUUAUUACACAUCCGUUCAUACAGUUCAUAGAAUUAUAUAUCCCACGUCUCCCCAAUUGGCCCAUUCACGAUAACGACCAUGAAAGCCCUUCAUUCCUCUUCUCCCACUCAGCUACCCACUCCUUAUCACGUUCAGCAACCGCCUUCUCCACCUGUAUCUGGCUCUCAAGCUCAAUCCUGCGCAUGCGCUCCAUAAGGUGGCGAUCGCGAUCCUUCCACCUAGUUUCCCACAUAUCCUCCACUUCGUUCUUCGCCCGCUCGAUAUAGCUGUUCAUCUGCUCCUGCAGAUUCUCAAGCCGUUUCCGCAUAUCGUCAAUGGUGAAGUCCCGCGACUUCAGCUCCUGGCGAUAUACCUGAUCAAUCUCGUUCAGACGCUCUCGCAUUCCAGCUAGCUCCCUAUCGCGCACAUGGAGCGCCUUGCGAUGGUCACGGUCAAUGCUGCGGAUCAGACGGGUGUAGUGGAUGCUAACGUCAUUUUCAUCUUCCAUUGGAGGUGGGGGGUCUAUGCCUACAUGGCCCUCUUCUAUUCUUGCGGGACUCUGUGGGACGGCUAGAGAGAGCAUUGGGAUAUUUGGGAGCGAUGGCCUCCGUUGAUGGAACCCGUCAUCUGGUGACAGGUGUGUUGGAUAUGAAGGAGCGGGAUUUCCACCUGAACUACGUGUCGUAUUUACUGGUGAUUGUGGGUAUUUUCUCUGGCAUGUGGCAAAGCUGGGACCUGCCGAUUGUGUGAUAUCGCCUCCGGGCGAAGGAGAAUCGUCUGGCGGCCCGCUAAAUUUGAUAUUAGUUAAACUGGUGAAGAGUCUAGGAAGUCGAACGCCGUUCCUGCGCCGAAGGCGACGGUAUGAGUCUUCGUUGUCAUGGCGAGAAUGUACACUCUCUGAUAUGUUGCCCUGCGAGGCGGAGCGCCCUUUAGGAAUGACUGAUAUCUCUUCCGGCCCCGGAACAAAUGAUAGACUGCGGAAAACGGCAUGGUCCUCCAUUGUUUGUGAAUCCCGGUUGGACAGGCUUGCACUUGGUAAGUUUGAUAGGUCAAACAUCGAGUUCGAGCUCAGUCGUCCAAGAGAUGAUUUGGCGUCGCUCUGUGAUAUGUCUGAUGAUUGCCGUCGAUGGCGGGACCUGUCCGUCCAAAAGGGAAUAUGUAUACGGCUUUUUGGUACUGGGGUAGGUUGCGAGGAAGGUGAACGUGCUGUGGGGGUAGUCGGUUCAGGUGGUUGCGCGCCGUUGAGAAAACUAGCAUCAGUUUGAUUGCUGGAUUGCGCGUAAGUUGGGAGGGAAGGAGAAUACGGAGGCAAGUCGUUAUCUGAAGAGCUGGAUAUCUUCGAGCCGUCCCGAUUGAUAUGGAAUAGCCUUCCGCCUAGCAUAAGAUCAACACUUCGAGCGCUUCGAGUGCUUCGAUCAUCAUCCUGUAAUGUAGCGAUUGUAGAAGUUGUCAUUGUCGAUAUGAUGCUGGAAGCUCGACUAGGUCGCACUCCCAGGGUCGUUGGCAUGCUAGCCACAUGAAUGGAUGUUUCUGUAGCCUGUUCUGAAAAUAGGCCUCCAGGAGCAAUAGCAGUAGAGCUGUAGCCCCUCCCAAAGGGUGGUGUUCCAGCUGUUGCCCCUUGCUGCGUGUUUCUUUGAGGGACCGGAGUUUCUGGGCGCG
rnacentral:sRNA from 1 species